rnacentral:rRNA from 1 species
GAUGAACGCUGGCGGCGUGCCUAAUACAUGCAAGUCGAGCGAACGGACGAGAAGCUUGCUUCACUGAUGUUAGCGGCGGACGGGUGAGUAACACGUGGAUAACCUCCCUAUAAGACUGGGAUAACUUCGGGAAACCGGAGUUAAUACCGGUUAAUAUUUUGAACCGCAUGGUUCAAAAGUGAAAGACGGUCUUGCUGUCACUUAUUGAUGGAUCCGCGCUGCAUUAGCUAGUUGGUAAGGUAAAGGGUUUCCAAGGCAACGAUGCAUUGCCGACCUGGGAGGGGGGUCGGCCACGCUGAAACGGAGACACGGCCCAGGCUCCUACGGGAGGCAACAGUAGGGAAUCUUCCACAAUGCGCGGAAGCCUGACGUAACAACGCCGCGUGGGGUAUGAGGGGCUUCCGAUCGUAAAACUCUGUUAUUAGGGAAGAACAUAUGUGUAAGGAACUGUGCACAUCUUGACGGUACCUAAGCAGAAAGCCACGGCUAACUACGUG